rnacentral:rRNA from 1 species
CCCAGACUCCUACGGGAGGCAGCAGUGGGGAAUAUUGGGCAAUGGGCGCAAGCCUGACCCAGCAACGCCGCGUGAAGGAAGAAGGCUUUCGGGUUGUAAACUUCUUUUGACAGGGAAGAGCAGAAGACGGUACCUGUCGAAUAAGCCACGGCUAACUACGUGCCAGCAGCCGCGGUAAUACGUAGGUGGCAAGCGUUGUCCGGAUUUACUGGGUGUAAAGGGCGUGUAGGCGGGACUGCAAGUCAGAUGUGAAAACCAUGGGCUCAACCUGUGGCCUGCAUUUGAAACUGUAGUUCUUGAGUACUGGAGAGGCAGACGGAAUUCCUAGUGUAGCGGUGAAAUGCGUAGAUAUUAGGAGGAGCACCAGUGGCGAAGGCGGCCUGCUGGACGACAACUGACGGUGAGGCGCGAAAGCGUGGGGAGCAAACAGGAUUAGAUACCCGUGUAA